rnacentral:lncRNA from 1 species
AAGGCAUAUAGUUAUUUCAACAAGGAAAAAAGAAAGAAUCAAAUGGAAUGAGAUGGAAAAAUGGCUACUCUGAUGCUCAUUAAUGUUUUAGUGAUGAGGCCACUGAGAAAAAUUGUUCAUUACUUCCAACAUGGCUCUUACCCUUCAAGUCCUCGCUCUUGAAAAAACAUCACCUUAGGUAUGUGCACAUACUAACAAGCUUCAAAAGUUAACUAACUCAAGGCUUAGUUUCAUCAAUAUGUACACAGAAAAAAAGACUGGAAGGAAAUACUCUAAAAAGCUAUCCAUGAUUAUCUUUUAGGUAGCUUUUUCUGUUUCUAUAUUUUGUAAAUUGUCUACAAGUACAUAUUGUUUUUAUAAUCAGAAAACUAUUAUUAAUGAGGAAACAGACAGUUUUACCAAGAGUAUUCUGUAUAACUGAACCACUAACACAUCUGAAAAAUAUUUUGAGCUAUAAUAAGCGUUUGGUUGUUCUCAAAUUUUCAAAGAAUGGGCUUAUGGGAUAAAAAGGCAUUUGAAAAAAAUUUUUGUUCACUCUAUCAGAUAUUUCAACAAUAGGUUAAUUUAAGCACAUAAGCAGCUUCCAAGCAGAAUGGCAGGGCAUGUAUUAUUAGUAUUAGACACAUAUAUGAAAUUAGGCUAUUCACUAUAAUGCACACAGCCUUCCACGGAAUAUGAUUUUAAUACUUUCCUUUAUGACGCUGCAUCUUCAAAGGUAGGUAAUAAAUCAGUUUUAAAGAAUGGUGCUUUGUUCCCCAGACCCCCUCCCCUGUCUUUAUUCAGUGUACACAUGGAUCAGCUCAGAUGUCCAGGGUAGGAACUGAUUAAAAAAUUCAAUCAGGAAGGCAUGCCUAGAAAUUUAUUACUAGGAGAGUUUCUUUUCUUUGCUCAAGUCUAGCUAAAAGUAAAUUUUAUUGUUUGUUUGUUUACAAGCUAGUAUUUACUGGUAUGAGUUAAUGCAGUAUUCCUGGGUACUGAAAAACAUGUUAAAACUGAACUUUAUGCAGUUGUCUCAAAGGGCACCUUAAAAUCAGAGUGGACUUCAAACCAUCACCCGGCAAUAUUUGUUCAUUUAACUUUAAUUAUUUUCUCCUUGAGAAUGGUACUAAUGAAACUGAAUAUCUUUCAUGGUU